UGGAGAUCACUUGUCAUACCAAGAACAAGGAAAGCCACAACCUGAACAUGCUCAGGGAGCAUACGGACGUUGCGCAGUGAAUGCAGCUGGCUGGGGAAGGCUCAGGAACCGCACCCAGGAAGCCCACCUACAGAUCCCACCUCAAACCACGACAUGCUGCAGCCUCCCCAGUGGCCAGAGCAGCUUAACAAAGCAUCUUUGUUUCCUUUCUGCACCCCAGAAAAUAGCUGUGUUGGUCUCUUCGCCAUGCAGAGUGAAUAAAGAAUAAGACAAACACCAUCCAUGCAUACUUGGUGCUUUUGACCUAGCAGGGGAGACAGCAAUUAAGCUGGCAGCCUUGCCGUCAUUAUUCAAUUGCACGUGUAAUAAGAGCUACCAAGGAGAAGUCCUGGGAGCCCCGGGCCCUCCAGAGGCAGUGCUGGCGCCUUAGGGAAUUUCCCUGUGUAACGUUUUGGUUGAAUCUUGGAGGGUGAAUUGGAGCUGACAGAGCAAAG
rnacentral:lncRNA from 10 species